CCAUAUUCAAGGGAUUGACCGCCAAAAGCACGUUGAUAAAUCUUUCCCUCCUUCGUUCUUGAAAAAGGUACACCAAAAUGUUCCAACUCCAAAACUGCUUUGGGUGCUUCUUUAGUCAUGUAAUGAAUAGCAUCUUGAUCACCCAACCAAUCUGAUCCUUUGACAGUGUCAUAGAAAUGCCAGCGCCAGUCAUCUUUUGUCAUAUUACCGAGUGCAGCGUUGAUACCACCUUGGGCAGCGACAGUAUGGGACCUCGUAGGAAAGAGCUUAGUAAUACAUGCAGUAUUAAAGCCGGCUUCUGCCAAACCAAAAGUAGCACGAAGACCGGCACCUCCGGCACCUACAACGAUAGCAUCGUAUGUAUGGUCAAUGACUGGAUAUUUAACGGAUUCUGAUGUUGAAACUUGCUUUGCUCUUAAAGGCUACAUUGUUAGAUUGUUUAGAAAACUGUUCAUAGAGUAGAGAAACAAAGAAGGGUUGCUUAAAAAUCAUAAAAUUUGCACCGCUUCCAAAAAUAAGACGAGUCACUAAAAAAAAACAUACCUGGCUUGAAGCUAUUUUUUUUAAAGUUGAAGAAGUAGAAAAUAGCUUCAGAUUCCCUCCAUUUUUUAGACUUGGAGCGACUUUUCGAAAUCUGAGCAUUAUAUGUGUUGGAUGUGGUGGAAGGAGAAGCUUUGGUAAUUGGGCAUCUCUUAAGGAAGUACAGCAUCGUUAAGUGCGGAAGUUUGAAAUACCGCCCUUCUUAUUCGUCAACUCCAUAAGCGAAAUCUAAUCAAUACUCUUCUAUUUCCGUGUCUUUAACUUUAACUUACAUUAUUGGCUUAACCCACAUCUCGGUUUAAUGACACAAACUGCUUCAAUACCAUCAUCAUUCAGCUCGUUAAGAAAAGCAGUUUUAGUACUACUCGGUGAAAACCCAAGAACUACGUAUAAAAUAUAUUUUUACUAUUGCUUUGUGCCUCCAAACUUUUCCGAUAAAAAUUAGCUAGCUAAAUCUCGAGGACAA